GGACUACAGGGGUAUCUAAUCCUGUUUGCUCCCCACGCUUUCGUGCUUGAGCGUCAGUGUUAUCCCAGGGGGCUGCCUUCGCCAUCGGUGUUCCUCCACAUCUCUACGCAUUUCACUGCUACACGUGGAAUUCCACCCCCCUCUGACACACUCCAGCGCUGCAGUCUCAAAUGCCAUUCCCAGGUUGAGCCCGGGGAUUUCACACCUGACUUACAGCACCGCCUGCGCACGCUUUACGCCCAGUAAUUCCGAUUAACGCUUGCACCCUACGUAUUACCGCGGCUGCUGGCAC
rnacentral:rRNA from 2 species